rnacentral:lncRNA from 1 species
AGGAUUCCAAAUGAAUGAGAAGUUAGUUAGAAACAAACUGUGCUCUUCCCAUCUCUCUCUUCUGGCUUGUAGUGUUUCUGCCGAGAGAUCUGCUGUGAGUCUGAUGGGCUUCCCUUUGUGGGUGACCCGACCUUUCUCUCUGGCUGCCCUUAGUAUUCUCUCCUUUAUUUCAACCCUGUUGAAUCUGACAAUUAUGUGCCUUGAGGUUGCUCUUCUUGCAGAGUAUCUUUGUGGUGUUCUCUGUAUUUCCUGCAAUUGAGUGUUGGCCUGUCUUGCUAGGUGGGGGAAAUUUUCCUGGAUGAUGUCCUGAAGAGUAUUUUCCAGCUUGGAUUCAUUCUCUUCGUCCCCUUCUGGUACACCUAUCAAACGUAGGUUAGGUCUUUUCACAUAGUCCCACAUUUCUUGGAGACUUUGUUCAUUCCUUUUUGCGCUUUUUUUCUCUGAUCUUGGUUUCUCGUUUUAUUUCAUUGAGUUGGUCUUCGACUUCAGAUAUUCUUUCUUCUGCUUGGUCAAUUCGGCUAUUGAAACUUGUGUUUGCUUCGCGAAGUUCUCGUAUUGUGUUUUUCAGCUCCUUUAAUUCAUUCAUAUUCCUAAGUUAUCCAUUCUUGUUAUCAUUUCCUCGAAUCUUUUUUUAAAUCUUUUUUCAAGGUUCUUAGUUUCUUUGCAUUGAUUUAAUACAUGAUCUUUUAGCUCACAAAAGUUUCUCAUUAUCCAUCUUCUGAAGUCUAAUUCCGUCAUUUCGUCACAGUCAUUCUCCGUCCAGCUUUGUUCCCUUGCUGGUGAGGAGUUUUGGUCCUUUCUAGGAGGCGAGGUCUUCUGGUUUCGGGUGUUUUCCUCCUUUUUGCUCUGGUUUCUUCCCAUCUUUGUGGAUUUGUCCGCUGGUCGUCUGCGUAGUUGCUGAUUUUUCGAUUGGGUCUCUGAGUGGACACCCAGAAUGUUGAUGAUGAAGUAUUUCUGUUGCUUGGUUUUCCUUCUACCAGUCUAGCCCCUUCGCUGUACGACUGCUGAGGUCCGCUCCAGACCUUGCUUGUCUGGGGUGCACCUCUAGCAGCUGUGGCACAGCGAGGGAUGCUACCAGUUUCUUUUUCUGCUAUCUUUGUCCCAGGAUGAUGCCUGCCUAAUAUCAGUCUUUUGGAUAUAGAGGGGUCAGG